GCGCCUGUAGCUCAACAGGAUAGAGCACCAGUUUCCUAAACUGGGGGUUGUGAGUUCGAUUCUCGCCAGGCGCA
rfam:Candidate division WOR_1 bacterium DG_54_3 WOR1_52_54_25506, whole genome shotgun sequence.